GGAUGGUUGGUCUAACGGUAUGACAGCACAGCCACAAAGUGCAGGCUGGCAGUUCGAAUCUGUCACCAUCCA